AUUGAACGCUGGCGGCGUGCCUAAUACAUGCAAGUAGGACGAGCGGAGGACGGGUGAGUAAUGUCUGGGAAACUGCCUGAUGGAGGGGUAUAAGUACUGGAACAGGUAGCUAAUACCGCAUACAAUCAGAUGUGCCGAGGGGGGAUUAGCUAGUAGGUGGGUGAAUGGCUCACCUAGGCGACGAUCCAUAGCUGGCCUGAGAGGAUGACCAGCCACACUGGAACUGAGAAACGGCCCAGACUCCUACGGGAGGCAGCAGUGGGGAAUAUUGGACAAUGGGCGCAAGCCUGAUGCAGCCACGCCGCGUGUGUGAAGAAGGCCUUCGGGUUGUAAAGCACUUUCAGCGAGGAGGCGUUACUCACAGAAGAAGCACCGGCUAACUCCGUGCCAGCAGCCGCGGUAAUAC
rnacentral:rRNA from 1 species